AACGAACGCUGGCGGCAGGCUUAACACAUGCGAGUCGAACGCCCCGCAAGGGGAGUGGCAGACGGGUGAGUAACGCGUGGGAAUCUACCCAUCUCUGAGGAAUAGCUCCGGGGAACUGGAAUUAAUACCGCAUACGCCCUACGGGGGAAAGAUUUAUCGGGGAUGGAUGAGCCCGCGUUGGAUUAGCUAGUUGGUGGGGUAAAGGCCUACCAAGGCGACGAUCCAUAGCUGGUCUGAGAGGAUGAUCAGCCACAUUGGGACUGAGACACGGCCCAAACUCCUACGGGAGGCAGCAGUGGGGAAUAUUGGACAAUGGGCGCAAGCCUGAUCCAGCCAUGCCGCGUGAGUGAUGAAGGCCUUAGGGUUGUAAAGCUCUUUCACCGAUGAAGAUAAUGACGGUAGUCGGAGAAGAAGCCCCGGCUAACUUCGUGCCAGCCGCCGCCGUAAGAC
rnacentral:rRNA from 1 species